UUGGCAGAAGAGGGUGAAUUCUGAUUCAUGCAGCAGCAGACAGGAUGACUCCCAAGCUACCUUUUGCAGCUUUAAUGAUGCAGAUGACGUCUGGUAUUUUCCUGUAUUGAUUGACAAAAAAAAAAACUGAUAGAAAUUAUUCCUAGCUUUAUGUCUUUACACACAUCUGAUUUGUGUUGCAAAUGGCAGCAUUCCUGAUGCCAAAUUGCAACUGCUAACAAAUCUAAGUAAUGUAUAUAGUAUUGAUGUUACUACUUAGGUUUUGAUGAUCCACGAAAUCUCACAUUUCUGUUUUGCAUCAGUUUAAGUCAACUUUCCGCUUCUGCUUUCUUAUCUUGCUUUUUAUGGUGGUUAUUAGGUAUAAAAAAAUGGAGGGAUGUAUAACUCCAUAUCCUGAUGAAGUUGCUGGAGAACUGAAGCCAUUUCCAGAAAGGCUUCAUGCUGUACCACCUAGAAUUGCUAGUGGAUCGGUUCCUGGAGUUUCUGUUGAGUCCUAUUUGGAGGAUAACAAAAACUGGAAGAAGCAUGUUAGUGCUUAUAAAAGAAUCAACAAAUUACUUGACUCUGGAAGGUACCGCAACGUUAUGGAUAUGAAUGCUGGUUUGGGUGGUUUUGGUGCACAACUUACAUCUCCAAAAUUAUGGGUCAUGAAUGUGGUGCCCACUAUAGCUGAGAAAAAUACAUUGGGUGUUAUAUACGA
rnacentral:lncRNA from 1 species